UACUAUGUGCCGGGCUAUGUAGCAGU
rnacentral:piRNA from 2 species